AACAGAUUCGAGGAAGCAGCAGAAAUGGCGAGUCCGGAGCAAUCCGAUGAAAAGUUGGCAUUUUCAAGGUGGAGAUAUAAGCAAUACUUCAAAUUCAUCGAGGUCAAAGGAGGACUUUGGCGAGGCACUGAUGAACACCGGUUGGUUGCAGCUUUGGCCUCAUUCCCAGUGGCAUCCACCAAGCAGAAUAACUGGAACCAGAAGGUCAGGUUAUUUAUCAUUAUGCAGGUAAAAGUCACUAACAGGCAUGUGGAAACUACAGGCAAUAACAUCCAUAAAACUAUCAAGCAGAGACAAAGGCGAGGAAUGGCGGGAAAUGGACUGGCAUAAAUACUUGUAAACCAAUGACAGAAUGGGGAAUAGCUGUGACGGAGGGCCUAGAAGUCAGUUGACAGGGAAUGGCUGGAACUCUGGGGUUAAAACACAUAACCUGGGAGUGGCUGGAUCUGAAAUGUGAAUCAGCACCAGGCAAUGAUUCUACAGUAUUUUAAAUUAACAGCUAGCUGACAUUGUAACUGUUGUGACAUGCUGAAGUCCUGUUUCACACAGGUAUUAUGAAAAACUUUGAAAAGUGUUCGUUUCUACAAGAAAGGCACAGAUUAAGAGCUCUGUAGUGAUGUUUAUCGAGCAUCCACCUGGUUUCAACAAUCCUCCCCUGCUGGAGGCAAUAUACCAUGGAUGCAGGAGAAUAUGUUGAAUUUGCCUGAUUGUUGAAAUUGAAUAGAAAAUCUAGGUUUUUCAAUUGAAUUUAAAAUCACAUGAAUUAAACAAGGUUUGCACAAUAAUGGUUGUAGAAGUAAACUAGCAACAUUUAUAUAUAUUUGUUAGUUAAGUAAGUAAACACUUUCAAGCUAGGAGCAUAUCACUCAUGUAUGACUUUAUGAUUCCACUUACUUGUGUCAUUAUAGCUGGGUCAAAAAAAACCCAAUAUUGCAUUGAUGUUGGCUCCUGAUUAGGGGUAGGGAAAUGUUUUUCUUUAAAAUGAUAAAGUAAUAGACUGUUUAGCUUUGGGGCAACAUCAUGCAAUGUCAGCAAUGCGGCCGCUUAUUAAAGAGUGAAAUUUACAUCCACACCAAAUGGUAACUGUCCUGAUAGUGUGCACCUAUGUCCACGAGGUGGCAAUGUCCCUCCACUGAGAAUUGUAUCUGACUGUGCAGGGUCUCACGCUGCCUCUAUGACUCAAGAAACACUGUCUCAAAUGUUGUUCUCCAAAUUUCAGAACUGCUUUUAAAUUGUUUUUCCUCAUUACGAACUUUUGAUUAUUUAUAAUGUAUACUGUUUAUACAAAUUUGAUACAUAUGACAAAAUCAAUUCUGGAAACAAGUUUGUAGACAGACAGUUCAAUGUACUUGAGUGAUAUUCUGUCAGUCUGAAAAUGUAUACAAUUUACAUUGUACACUUUUCUUCUUUUUCUAGAACAAUUAUUAACAUUCGUCCUCCCUUGCAUUUCAAGUUCUUUAUUGAUUAUAAAAAAUAAGAAAAUAUA